GCUCGUUUAAUUUUCAUAAAAUUUUGUCAAAGUAUUUACUUUGAGACUUCAAUAAAAAUAUAAAAAUUUAAAAAAUUUUGAACCAACCGUUUUGUCAGAAAAAUUACACUGGUUACAUAGCAAUUUGACAAACACCAAUUUUGAUCAUUGACAAGCUUAUUAUUCCUUUUACAACACAACGUAAUUAAAACGUUUAGCUGAUUUUACAGAGUUACCUCCCUGUAGUGUUAGGUACCACCUUAAA
rnacentral:lncRNA from 1 species